CCAAAGGCACGCGAAUGCAUAGAGUAAGUUCCCAGUCUUAUAAAUACAGUGUAAAAACGGGCAGACAUUCCUCUUCUUCAUAUUUUUGAACCCCACAGCCUAGGAGCGAAUUUCUUCAUCAAAUAUCAUCCUCAAGUCAUAGAUUCGAGCAAGUUAGAGCAAGAUUCUAAAGGAAAAGUUAUAAUUAGGCUGUGAGUGGCCUGCGAAAUUGAGAUCCAGGUACCAGCUAGCAGUAGAGAUUUUUAGUAGUAGCUAUUCACUCUUUCGGAGACACGAGGUAUAUCUAUCGGCGUUCGCAGAUCCCGAGAGUCUUCCCCUAUUUUUGAACAUUGUUUUAUUACAUUCAGAACAGUUACUCUAUUUUCUUUCAGCCCAGUAUUUGUAGUAUUCUUUAGUAGUUCGUGAAUUGUGACACCAGAUCCUGGGUAGUCUUAGAGUUAUAUAUAUAUAUAUAUAUAUUAUUAGUU